CCCUAAAUUUUCCCCUGAAACCCCUAAUUUUUCCCCCUAAAAAUAUCCCUCCUUCCUUUCUGAUUUUCCUCUGAUCCAAACAAGAAACAACGAACUCGCCUUCAACCUUCUUCUUCAAACCAGCUCCCCUCUCAUUCAAUCCCUCGUCGUAAUCUCCUCCUCUCCUCUCCUUACCCUUUCUAAAUCAGGGUUUAUUAAAACCCCUCAAUCAGAUCUAUAAUUAAUUGCCAAAACCUAAAACCUUUUACCAACCUUAUAUUUUUUUAUCUAUUCUCCUCGUUAAGGGUUUCCGGCGUUCUCAGUUUCUUUUCAAAUACUUUGUUUGCAGGCAGAUCUGUUUCUAGCACCACAGAUUCUGGCUGGGAUUGAACGAUUCAAUGUUGACAUGGAAACAAGAAGAGCCUGGUUGAUGCUAUUGAGAAAGGGAUUGAUCUACGCAAACAAAUACUAGAACUGUAUAAUGAUUAUUACCAUGGCGGACUGAUGAAGUUAGUGGUAAUUGGUGGUGGUAAGUUACUUUGUUGUGAUUCUCUAAAUUUGUGGCCAUUGUUUACUCUCUCUUUCUAGUCUCUGAGGGCAACAGUGGUUUUAACUUGGAUGGCAUUUAUUUUCACUGCCUCUUUUUUCCUCCAUUUCUGUCCAAAAUUUUGUUUUAUUUUUCAUAUCCAUUUUACCUUGUUUAGACAGCUGAUUUUUUAACUAAUUUUUUUAAGUUUAUAACUUUUCCAUGAAAAUCUUAAACAUACUUAAGCAUUUUAUUCUAAUUUUUUGAAGGAAUUUUAGUGCUUAUUGUACAUAUGUCAGUUGGAAGAAAAUUAUGGUGUAAUUGUUAUCUAAAUUAUUUGUUUACAUCUUUAAUAGCAUAAUCAUGAUAAUACUUCUUGAUGGUGCAAAGUCUUUGGAUGUACUUCAGCACUUGGUUGUUGAAUUAUUUUCUGACGUCAGACAAGGUUCUCAAGGAAAGCCAGAGUUUAAGGUGGAAGGUCCUGUCUGGAGAGCUGGUAAACUUUACAGGUUAUAGGCAGUUAAGGAUGUCCAUAUCCUUGAAUUAAGGUGGGCACUGCCUUGUCUUUUGCAAGGUAUCUGCAGAAACCAGAAGAUUAUCUGGCUCAUCUUCUUGGCCAUGAUAAUAUUACGGUUGGCCGAUGACUCAAAAGUGAGCGAUGAACUAUGGGAUGAGGUGAUAGAGUUAAUGAAAUUUCGGGUGGUGGACAAGGUUUCGUUAAUUCGUACGCUUGCAGUCCGGGCGCUUUCACGAUUUGUAAAUGAUUCUGAAAAUAGAGACAUUCUUGAUUUAUUUCUCGAAGUCCUUCCAUUGGAGCAGAACUCGGUCAGUGUGUAAACUUAUAUAUUGCUUCUGUUGUCUCGAUGAGUUGCAUUAUUUGUUAUUGUUCCUAUUCUCUUGGCUCCAAUUUUUUUGGUUCAAAACUUGAUGUCUAAGUGUAUGCUUGAGUAUUUGGCAAUCAAUCCUGUGAAAUAGUUUCUAGUUAAGGUGGCAUAGAAGCAUAUAGUCCAGGCAUAAUUUGUUCUUACAAUUUAUGAUUUAUUUUGGUUUCUCCUCACCACAAAUUGUCUAAUGUAUUUGGCAGAAUGAGAUACAUGCAUUUCUCUAUGUGGAUGGGUAACCUAUAUCUUUGAUUUGAGGCAUAGUUUGAUGAUAGCAUAACUUAUUGCUGAAGUUAUACAGCCACGUUGUUUGCAUACUGAUGACCAGUUUUGACGUUUAAGAUUUCAGAAUUGAGAUGGAUUUCCAGCUUGGAGGAUGUAUAGAGCCUGGAGAAGGUUAUGAUAAAUAAUGUGCUUGUUGUUCCACUUAUAUUAAAUAUUGUACCCUUUUUUGCGAAAUUGUUGUAUUCUGAAAUAUCUUUAAGAUUAAGGAACUAUACUAAAUGCGGUCACAAGACUUAUGUAAUUCUAAUAUAGAAUGUAAACAAUUUUCUUAUGUAAUUCUAAUAUAGAAUGUAUCUUGUUUUAA